rnacentral:rRNA from 1 species
CAGUAGCCGCGGUAAUACGAGGGGGGCAAGCGUUGUUCGGAUUUAUUGGGCGUAAAGCGCGCGCAGGCGGAUAGGUCAGUCUGUCUUAAAAGUUCGGGGCUUAACCCCGUGAUGAGAUGGAAACUGCCAAUCUAGAGUAUCGGAGAGGAAAGUGGAAUUCCUAGUGUAGCGGUGAAAUGCGUAGAUAUUAGGAAGAACACCAGUGGCGAAGGCGACUUUCUGGACGAAAACUGACGCUGAGGCGCGAAAGCCAGGGGAGCGAACGGGAUUAGAUACCCCGGUAGUCCCUGUCUCUUAUACA